rnacentral:rRNA from 1 species
AUACCCGAUAGUCCUCGACUGCUGGAAUGCAUCGAGUGCUAAAGCUCCGGCGCCUAAGGAUGGGUCUGCGGCCUAUCAGGUAGUAGUGGGUGUAGCGUACCUACUAGCCUACGACGGGUACGGGUUGUGAGAGCAAGGGCCCGGAGAUGGAUUCUGAGACACGAAUCCAGGCCCUACGGGGUGCAGCAGGCGCGAAAACUUUACAAUGCUGGAAACAGCGAUAAGGGGACCUCGAGUGCCAGGUUACAAAUCUGGCUGUCGUGAUGCCUAAAAAGCAUUGCAUAGCAAGGGCCGGGCAAGACCGGUGCCAGCCGCCGCGGUAACACCGGCGGCUCGAGUGGUAACCGUUAUUAUUGGGUCUAAAGGGUCUGUAGCCGGCCGGAUAAGUCUCUUGGGAAAUCUGGCGGCUUAACUGUCAGGCUUUCAGGGGAUACUGUCUGGCUCGAGGCCGGGAGAGGUGAGAGGUACUUCAGGGGUAGGGGUGAAAUCUUGUAAUCCUUGAAGGACCACCAGUGGCGAAGGCGUCUCACCAGAACGGACCUGACGGCAAGGGACGAAAGCUAGGGGCACGAACCGGAUUAGAUACCCGGGUAGUCCUAGCCGUAAACGAUACUCGCUAGGUGUCGGCCACGGUGCGACCGUUGUCGGUGCCGUAGGGAAGCCGUGAAGCGAGCCACCUGGGAAGUACGGCCGCAAGGCUGAAACUU